rnacentral:rRNA from 1 species
UAAGACGAACCACCCAAACGUUAUUCGGAAUUACUGGGCUUAAAGGGUGCGUAGGCGGUGCGGAAAGUUGGGUGUGAAAUACCUCAGCUUAACUGAGGAAUGGCGCUCAAAACUACCGUGCUCGAGGGAGAUAGAGGUGAGCGGAACUUAGGGUGGAGCGGUGAAAUGCGUUGAUAUCCUAAGGAACACCGGUGGCGAAAGCGGCUCACUGGAUCUCUUCUGACGCUGAGGCACGAAAGCUAGGGUAGCGAACGGGAUUAGAUACCCCGGUAGUCCUAGCCGUAAACGAUGAGCACUUGAUUGAAGGGCCCCUCAUAGCCUUUCAGUCGUAGCGAAAGUGUUAAGUGCUCCGCCUGGGGAGUAUGGUCGCAAGGCUG